rnacentral:misc_RNA from 1 species
CNUGGUGAGUGUGNGCGUGUCGGAUCCCUGCUUCGGCAGUGACGACGUGCCGUGCGUGCCUCCUCAGUCGGUGUCGGUUCAAGAGCGUGNUCACCUUGGCCCGUGUUGGUUUUCUGUAUUUCAUACCGGUCGUAAAGGCGCNCGGUGUCCCAAAUGUCCCUCUUCCGUCGUGCGUUGUGUCCCCUNNUGGUGGCGGUGUGGUGCGGACCGCGAAGACCCGCUGAGUCCGUGCACAAUGCCUGAAACAGCGCCCGCGCGUNGGACCCCGANGUGCUCAAUCGCUCGGAUGCGGAAUAUCUCGUGGGCAUGUGGCCGUCAGUCGNUAUNUGCCCUCAAACAAGCAUUUUACUNNUCGUGCGAGCGAAUUCCUUGCCCUUNUCCGUCGAGCCCAUGCGGNUCGNUCCGUGCGGCUGCGGCGUUANUGUGNAA